GAAUUGUUAGCUCAGUUGGUUCAGAGCGCCGCCUUGACAGGGCGGAGGUCGCUGGUUCGAGCCCAGCACAGUUCA
rnacentral:tRNA from 1 species